rnacentral:ncRNA from 2 species
UAUAAAAAAAAAUAAAACCGUCGAAGGGCGGUGACGCAAAGCUACGAGUUUACGCCGAAGGAUAGGAUGGUCGGGUUGCCGGA